AUAAAAAUAGUGCAAACAUUCGUCAUGGAAAUGAUAUUGAGUAUCUAUUGAGCUUUGCAUGGAAAAGUUGGAAAGAGGGGAAAGCUACAAAUAUUAUAGAUCCAUCAUUACAAAACUUUUCAUUAAAUGAAAUAAUGAGAUGCAUUCAUAUUGGUUUGCUUUGUAUUCAAGAAGAUGCAGCUGAUAGACCAACCAUGGCAGCUGUUGCUCUCAUGCUUAAUAGUUACUCUCUUAGUCUUGCAAUACCUUCAAAGCCUGCCUACUUUUAUGGAAGUGGAACUGAAACUGGAAGCUUACAUGACAAGCAACUAUGGGCUGAAAAUCAAAAUGCAACGACUUCGAAUGAAUCGAUAAACCAAGCUUCGAAUACUGAUCCGUACCCUCGAUAGAUUUUAUUCGUAAGGACGAUAUAUUCUUUUAUGAGUCAAUCACUAUAUUGAUCUAUAAAUUUAAAAUGUCAGUCUCUAUGAAAUAUUAGAAUGAAAAAGCAUCUUCGAAACUUA